CGGGGCGUAGCGCAGCCAGGCUAGCGCACCUGAAUGGGGUUCAGGUGGUCGGCAGUUCAAAUCUGCCCGCCCCGA
rnacentral:tRNA from 1 species